GUGUAGGUGCCAUUUUCUGUGCAGUGAUCAGCAAGAUACGUUGGAGCUGCUAAGGUUUUCAAGCUAAGAAAAGCACACAGGGACCAGGUUGUCAUGAGGAAGCAUUGUUCAGCCAUACGUGAUUAUCCACUUUAGUAUUAUUUUUAUCCCACAUGAGUAGAAAAAUGUUGCCAA